rnacentral:rRNA from 1 species
AUUGAACGCUGGCGGCAGGCCUAACACAUGCAAGUCGAACGAGUGGCGGACGGGUGAGUAAUGUCUGGGAAACUGCCUGAUGGAGGGGGAUAACUACUGGAAACGGUAGCUAAUACCGCAUACCAUCGGAUGUGCCCAGCUGGGAUUAGCUAGUAGGUGGGGUAAUGGCUCACCUAGGAGACGAUCCCUAGCUGGUCUGAGCGGAUGACCGGCCACACUGGAACUGAGACACGAUCCAGACUCCUACGGGAGGCAGCAGUGGGGAAUAUUGCACAAUGGGCGCAAGCCUGAGGCGGCCAUGCGGCGUGGAGGAAGAAGGCCUUCGGGUUGUAAAGUUCUUUCAGCGGGGAGGCGGUACCCGCAGAGGAAGCACCGGCUAACUCCGUGCCAGCAGCCGCGGUAAUAC